UUCAAACACUUCCCUCAUGGAGGCUGAAGGGAACACGGAUGCUUAAAGAAAUUCUAAAAAUUGAUGGCUCUAACACUGUGGACCAUAAGAAUGAAAUCAAACAGAUUGCUAAUGAAAUCCCUAUUUCCUCUAACAGAAGAGAUGAAUAUGGAUUACCCUCUCAGCCUAAACAAAAUAAGAAAUUAGCAUCUUAUAUGAACAAGCCUCACAGUGCUAAUGAGUACCAUAAUGUUCAGUCUAUGGACAAUAUGUGUUGGCCUGCCCCCAGCCAGAUCCCUCCUGUAUCCACACCAGUAACUGAACUUUCUCGAAUUUGUU
rnacentral:sRNA from 1 species